rnacentral:tRNA from 1 species
CAGGGUAUAGCUCAAUGGUAGAGUGCAUGCCUAGCAUGCACGAGGUCCUGGGUUCAAUCCCCAGCACCUUCA